UCCCUGGUAGGUCAAUAGUAGAGCGGUUGGUUAUUAACCGAUUGUUUGUAGGUUCGAAUCCUACUUGGGGAG
rnacentral:tRNA from 1 species